UCCCUGGUGGUCCAGCAGUUAGGACUUGGCACUAUCACUGCCGAGGGUCCAGGUUCCAUCCCUGGUUGGGGAA